AUGUCCAACCCGUACCCUGCGGUUCAUGCACGCAGUCCACGCCCACCUGAUGACUGCUCGCUACGUUUGUCAGCU
rnacentral:sRNA from 5 species